rnacentral:lncRNA from 1 species
CCAGGCAUACAUAGCCACAAAUUUCAAUUGUCUAUUCAGAAUCCCAAUUAGCAUCAAGUAGCCAACAAUCCAAAAGCGGUACCAUGAACUUUACAAAGUCUUACAAACCAUUCCAAAUCUAAGUCGCAUACAUAAAUUAGUCAAUAAAGUCUAAGGCAUAAUCUAAAUAAAAGUAUGUAGUCUAAACGUAGAUAAUUAAAACUAAUUAAUUUAAGAAGACUGUCAUCCUUGUAUUUACUUUUCUUCAAAUUUCAAGAACAUAACACUGCUGCCUUAUUAUUCUUUUCUUCGUUCUCAUAUAUGCAUGCAUUCUAGUCAGGCUUUGUUGCUGGGAUUCUGCGAGACCUUUGAAAUGCCAGGCUUUGCUACUGGGAUUCAACCGCGACCAAUGUAGUUGCAGCUAAUGUUUUUUCCCUACUAUUGUGAUGUUUCCUUUAAGGUCCUGCAUAUCACGAAAAUCAAAAAUGAGAUAGGCAAGACAUGAAGCAACUUGUGUUUGUAACAAAUAAAUGUACUUAAGUUGUGGUUCAACAAAUUUAAAAAUUCCUAAAUUAAAUAGAAAUGGCAACCUAUCAUAUGCAGGUUGUGGCGCCCUCCAAACCCGGGUCAGAAGUUUGGGGUCCACACCAUAACAUAAACCUGUAAUUACUAUAAUAUAAACAGUGACCCUUAAUUGUCCAUGGAUCGCAACAGGUUAAAGUAUAAAACAAGCCACAACAUCACUUUAAUUAUUACAAACCCAAAUCCCAAAAUAUAAACUUAAUUCUUACAGGCUUACACAUCAUUUGUGUCUCGUUAUUCAAACUAGUACAUAUAUAUAUAAAAAGCCAGGUGCCGCUGAUAGCUCUCUUCCUUUCCUAGCCUGGAAUCCUGGCCUUACCACUAGCCUGAGGGUCAUCGUUACAAACCUUCUCUGCCUUCACUGGAAAGAACAUAAAAUACCGCAAGAGUGAGCUAACCAGCUCAGCAAGUAUAACAAUAUCAAUUUAAAAUAUUAAUCAUAAGCUGAAGGAAACCAGUGUCUAAUGGAAUCAAUCUCAAUAUCAAGAUUUGUUUUUCUUUUAGAGUAUCGAUUAGAAUUGGAUAUUAAAUUUAUUUUUAAAAAUCAAAGGUUAGGCUGCUGAUCAGUCAGACACUAACCCCGAGCAGGUCCCACCAUGCUCGUUUACUGGAUCCAAGGCACACAUUGGCCUAAAGUGACCACUCAUCUGGUCUGACCACUCAUUUGGUCCAAGUUUAGAAAACUAUCCAAUUCUAUCACAAUCAAGGUGAUCAACAAUAUUAUUCAAUAAAAUAGAAACACCAAUAUCAUAAAUAAAUUUUGAAGCAGAAGCAGACCACUAUUCAAAGUGUCUCAGAUGUAUCUCAAAGGAGAAAUGAGAAACAACUUCAGGGUUUAUCAAAGAAUCAAACAUUGCAUAAUUGGAUGGCAAAGCAUAUCCAAGUUUAGUGUUUAUAUGAAGAAGAAUUCUAGGUUCACAAAAAGGAUCCAAGUAUAAAUGAAUGCUUUUAAGAUCAAGAACUUGAGUUUAUGGAAAGAAUCAAGCAACUGUAAGGUAUAUGGUAUAACAGACGUUAUUUGGUGCUGAUCAACUGGUUAAGGUCUGAAGGAUGUGUGAUUGAUAACUGGUUGAGGUAUCGAGGGUAUGUUCUUGAAAUGAAAUUAGGUUCUUAUGGUAAUCAUUUAGAAGUUUUAAAAAUUGAAGGUUUACAAUUGAAAUAGGUUUCGUAGCAGGUAUCAAAGAAUCGGGUCAAAGGUUCAAGAAUCAAUAAAGUAAAUAAUCCAUAUUAUAAUUCAAGGAAUCUGGUUGAAGGUUCAAAAAUCACUAGGAUAAAUAAUCCAUGCUAUAAUUCAAUAGAUCACAGGGCUUAAUCAGAAAGCUCGCUAAAUAAUCACAACAGACACAAUAUAUAAUUGGAGGAAAGUCUCAGGGAACUUGCCUUAUAUAGCUGAUCUCAAGUUUCAACUACGCUUGCUCGCUAUACUACUCUAUCACCACUUGCUUUCCCCUUUUUACGUCUCGCUUCUCUGCUAAUCACAACAAUUCUUUAUCAAUAUAUGAUCUCAUACUCUUCUUAUUAUCACACCUUCGCAACGAGUUUCUAUCUACCCUUCGUUUCACCCAAAUCCGAUUUACGGAUUAAAAGAUAUGUCAAAAACAAUCAUAUAAGGUUCACAUAGACAUGUAACACAUCAAUCAGAUAUCACAUAACACAUAUCACAUAAGAUAUUCAAUAAAAUUUAUCUUUCAAAGAAGGUUUGAAGUCAAAAGGAGUUUUCUGGCAUUUGAUAUGAAUUUUAAAACAUUUUUCGGAAUUAAAACGGGUCAAAGAAUCAUUUUAUAAAUAAAUAAUCAAUUUUGGAUACUCGAAAUCAAGUCCGAAAUCAUUUGAAAUCAAUUAACGAGCUUCAAACAUAUUUUAGAAUAAUAUUUCAAAGCUCGAAACUAUUUUUCGGAAUUUUAAAAUCAUUUAAAAUAAUUAAAUCUAAUUAAUAAAUCAAUUAAAAUUAAUUAAUAAUUAAUUAAAACAAUUAAUCAAUUAAUAUUUAAAUUAAUUGACUAAUUAUAAUAAUUAAUUACUAAUUAAAAUUAAUUAAUAAAUUAAAUCAGAAUUAUUUUUGAAUAAAGAAAUAAUUAAAAACUAUUUUUGAAAAUAAUUAAAUGAUUUUCGAAAUAAAAUAAUUUAAAUAAAACUGUUUUUAAAAGUUCUUGAAACUUCAAGGUUUAAAUUGUUACAAACCAAACCACAGUACCAAACUCUCAUCAUCUUCAAAAGUUCAGGGGCUAAACUGUAAAAAUUACAGCCGCCGCCCCUGAACCGCCGUCGAUCGCCGGAAAACCGGUUCCAGGCUUCCGUUGGUGCUCAGAAAGUGCAGAUCAGCUCUCCAAGCCACCAGGAAUCUAUUUAUCCAAUCGAUUCGAUCAACAACGCAGUGGUUUGGCCGGAAAUUGGCGAAGAAACUCGCCGUCGCCGGCGAGUCUUCUUUACUCCGAUUCCGGCCAUUCCUGAACCUCACCCUACUUUUGAUACCACCAUUCGACUCCUCUAAACCUUCCCAAUCCAUUCCACACUUCAAUUUACACAUAUAACUCCAGAAUAACAAAACCCCAAAUUCAAUUGAAAACAUUCAAACGAGCUAUGAACCCUAGUUCUUCAAAUUCGAAAAUCAAACCCAAUUUUAAAGGUGUUAUGAACCUCCAAAUCACACAUAUGAUAUACCAAAAUGAUCAGGAGAACAUUGUCUACAACAUACAAACAAGAAAUCACAUGAACAACUUCAAAAUCAAAAAGUCCUAAUUUAAUCUUAAUUAUUUCGAAUUUAAAUCCUCAAAUCCGAACCUACCUGAUGUUUCUGCACUAAAACUGAUGCUAGAUUUGGAUUCUACUCGCCAAAACCUUCGAUUUGAGUACUUGAACGCCAAGAUCCGAGUCCGAUAACGCUUCCAAAUCCUUGUUUGAAUCUCAAGAACACGAAGAACACUCUCUCGAUAAACUCGUGUUUAACUGAGAUUAUGAUUUCCCCGAUGAAUUAAGGUGCGGUUAAGGCUAUUUAUAGUUAUGAAAAAUUAAUACCCCUUUGGAUCAUAUAUGACACGAAAAUACCAUGUUUAAUAGCUUUAUAUUAAUAACAUAGGUCCAAUCGGCACCGGUUUUCGAGAUAACUAUCAAAACGGGGCUUUUUAAUCAGUCAUUAGUAUGCGGGUCCCAUUGCAAUUAUUACAAGAUAAGGAUGAUUAAAAAUAUCUAGUUUCACGUUUAUCGAGACAAACAGAUAAUUAUCGAAUACCGAAAAACUCCGCCGGACCGGCUCCGGAACAAACCGUACUCCGGAUCGAAAAAGUCAAAACAUGAAAAGUGUCCGGAAUACUCAAAUUAGGCUAAAGGUGAAUUUUGUUGAAAUUUUCGGGAAGAAAAAUCUCGGUACCGUUACAGGUUGACGGUUUUCGAAAAAUUAAAAUAAUUAAUAAUUAAAUAUAAUAUACGUAAUUAAAUCCAUAAAUCAAAUAUAAAAUCAUACGACAACACAUAAAUCGAUAUGAAAAUAUCUAAAUAAACUAUAUUUCGUACUGAACAUAUAAAAAUUGAUAUUCCUCAAAUUUAAUCAAAAAUGCAUAACUAAAUCAAUAGAACAGGAACCAAUUAAUUCACAGAAAUUCAUAUAAAAUUUAUAUAAUACUCAUUAAUCAUCCAAAUAAUUACACGGAUAAUCUCAGAUGUUACAUCCUCCCCCCCUUAAAAGGAUUCUGUCCUCAGAAUCGCUUAGGUGAACAAAUGAGGGUACUUUUCACGCAUAUCACUUUCUAAUUCCCAGGUUGACUCUUCAACCUUUGGGUUUCUCCACAAUACUCUUACUAAAUUAACUACCUUGUUUCUUAACACCUUCUCUCUUCUAUCUAGGAUUUCCACUGGCCUUUCUACAUACGAUAAAUCUGCCUCGAGUUCUACCGGCUCAUACUCUAUCACAUGUUUCGAAUCUGGAUUAUACUUCUUAAGCAUCGAUACAUGAAAGACGUUAUGAAUGUGCUCCAUUUGCGGGGGUAACGCCAAUUCGUAUGCUACUUUGCCUACACGCCUCAAGAUUUCAAAUGGCCCCACGUAUCGGGGACUUAGCUUGCCUUUCUUUCCGAAUCUGGACAGUCCUUUCCAUGGUGACACCUUCAGUAACACUGCUUCUCCGUCUUCAAAUUCUACGUUCUUCCGGAAUUGAUCUGCAUAAUUUCGUUGACGACUCUGUGCUGCAAUUAGUCGUUUCUGAAUAAUUUCAACGACUUCCUUUGUUUGUUGUACUAAUUCCGGUCCAAGUAUCUUGCGUUCUCCGACUUCAUCCCAAUAUACUGGCGAUCGACAUUUGCGUCCGUAAAGAGCUUCAUAAGGAGGCAUCCCAAUACUUGCGUGAUAACUGUUAUUGUAUGCAAAUUCCACUAAAGGUAGAUGUUCGUCCCAAUUGCCUUUGAAAUCGAUUGCACAAACACGUAACAUGUCCUCGAUCGUCUGAAUAGUUCUCUCACUUUGGCCGUCUGUUUGUGGAUGAUAUGCCGUACUCAUAUUCAAUUUAGUGCCCAAGCAUUCUUGAAAACUUUUCCAAAAUCUCGAAUUAAAUCGUGGAUCUCUAUCUGAUACAAUGGAUACGGGGACUCCAUGACGAACUACAAUCUCUUUCAAGUACAUAUGGACUAAUUUAUCCAAAGAGAAUCUCUCAUUGAUUGGAAGAAAAUGAGCUGACUUGGUUAGUCUGUCCACUAUAACCCAAAUGGCAUCAUGGUUUGCUUUGGUCCUUGGUAAUCCUACAAUAAAAUCCAUAGCAAUAUGUUCCCACUUCCAUUCUGGAAUCUCUAAAGGUUGCAAUAAUCCACUUGGUCUUUGGUGUUCUGCUUUCACUCUUUGACACGUAUAGCAUUUACUCACCCAUUCUGCAAUCUCUCUUUUCAUGUCUGGCCACCAAUAGUUCUCUUUUAAAUCUCUGUACAUCUUAGUGCUGCCUGGAUGAAUUGAAUAUUUGGAAUUGUGUGCUUCCUGCAAUAUGUCAUUCUUUAACUCCGUCACCGGUGGAAUCCAUAUCCUGGAAGAAAACCUAAGAAUACCUUGAUCAUCUUUCUGUGUACAUAACUCCUCCCCUACUAACUUGUUUACAUCCUGAUCCAUUACCUCUUCCUGACACUUCUUAAUCUUUUCUAAUAGCUCUGGUUGGAAGGUCAUGGUAUACAUUGCUAUCUUUGAUGGUUCAUGAAUUCUUAUCUCAAUUUCCAACUUUUGAAACUCUUUAUAUAAUUCCUCUGGCACAGUCAAUAUGUUUAACCUCUCUUUUCUACUUAAAGCAUCCGCUACAACAUUGGCUUUUCCUGGAUGAUACUUAAUCGUACAAUCAUAAUCCUUAAUCAACUCUAGCCAUCUCCUUUGUCUCAUGUUAAGCUCUUUCUGGGUAAAGAUGUACUUUAAACUUUUAUGAUCAGUAUAAAUCUCACAGUUUUUCUCCGUACAGAUAAUGUCUCCAUAUUUUCAAUGCAAAUACAAUAGCUGCUAACUCCAAGUCAUGAGUAGGGUACUUUUGUUCAUGAGGUUUAAGUUGUCUAGGCGCAUACGGUAAAGGAUAUCUAUUUUUUGAUAGUAAGCUUAUUAAGCUCUCUGUAAUCUAUGCAUAACCUCAUACUCCCAUCUUUCUUCUUUACAAACAACACGGGUGCUCCCCAUGGAGAUACACUCGGUCUGAUCACUCCUUUUUCCAAUAACUCUUGUAAUUGUUUUGCCAAUUCUUUCAUCUCUACAGGUUGCAUCUUAUACGGGGCUUUGGAUACCGGCUCCGCUCCAGGUGCUAAGUCAAUUGCAAAUUCUAUCUCUCUAUCUGGAGGCAGUCCUGGUAACUCAUCCGGAAACACGUCUGGAAAUUCAUUCACUACAGGGAUAUUUUCAAGUUUUACUGGUUCCUGACUUUUAUCAAUUACAUAAGCAAUAUAUGCUUCGCAUCCUUGUCGUAACAUCCUCUUGGCUUGGAUCAUGGUUAAAAACUUUUUUACUUGCUUUUGUCCUCUAAACGUUAUUACCUCUUCGUCUGGUGUCAUUGUAUUACCUUCUUAUUUUUACAAUCUAUCUGCGCACUAUGUUUAGACAACCAAUCCAUCCCUAAAAUUACAUCAAAUUCCCCCAACCUUGAAAGGUAUCAAGUCAGCGCAAAAUUUACUUCCUAAAAUCUCAACUUCACAAUUAGGACAAACUUGAUUAACGGAAAUACGAUCCUGAUUAGCUAGCUCUACAUUCAUAACCUCAUUCAACAAUUCAACCGGACAAUUCAACUUAUCAACAAAAGCUUGAGAAAUAAAUGAUCUAGUGGCUCCGGAAUCAAUUAACACCUUAGCAUUUAAAGAGUUUACAUUAAGCAUACCUGCCACCACAUCGGCAUCCUGAAUAGCAUCCUUUACUGACAUAUCAAAGACUCUUGCCCUAGGAGGCUCAUUCACUUCUGGAACAGUUCCCAUAAUUCUAAGUGCAUUACUAACUGGGGCUGAUGUUUUGCAAUCCCUAGCCAUAUGUCCCUGCUUUCCACAUUUGAAACAUGCAUAUCCUAUAGCUGGAGCUUUGCUUGUUGAGCUCCUAUUCGCCUGAUCUCUUAUUGCUGGUUGGUUCUGGCAUUCCCUAGAAUAAUGUCCUUUCUGGUUGCACUUAAAGCACACUAUGUUCGGCUUGUUGCACACUCCUCCAUGUCUCUUGCCACAUAUCUGGCAUUCUGGUAUAGAAGACCUCUGCUGAUUGGCCUGAUUUCCCAUAAUAAAACGACCACCUUGUCCACUACUGCCUAUAUUCUGCUUCUUAAAAUUGGAAUUCCUUCCUGCUUGAAAUUUCCCUUUCUUCUGGAACCUCCCCUGAUGGGAUGGCCCCUCUCUAUUGUCUGGCUUUCUCUUCUUAUCCUCUUUAGACUUCUGAAACAACUCAUUUUCAGCCUCCGCAAUCAUUGCCUUCUCAACCACUGCCGCAUAAGUCUCCAAUUGCAAAAUAGCUAACUUGCUCCUAAUCCAAGGUUUCAGACCUUGCUGGNNNNNNNNNNNNNNNNNNNNNNNNNNNNNNNNNNNNNNNNNNNNNNNNNNNNNNNNNNNNNNNNNNNNNNNNNNNNNNNNNNNNNNNNNNNNNNNNNNNNNNNNNNNNNNNNNNNNNNNNNNNNNNNNNNNNNNNNNNNNNNNNNNNNNNNNNNNNNNNNNNNNNNNNNNNNNNNNNNNNNNNNNNNNNNNNNNNNNNNNNNNNNNNNNNNNNNNNNNNNNNNNNNNNNNNNNNNNNNNGACUAGCAAACUUUGUUUUCUGGUCCUCACUUGCUGGACUAAUUCAAAACACUUUUCCAUUUCUUUUAACCAUGUUUGGGCUGCAACAGGAUCUGCUGAGUCCCUUAAACUCUGGAGGAUUAACUGCCUGAAAAGUUUUAAAAGUUACCCUAGGAUUCUCUUGAUGUUGCUGUUGUCGGGUAAGAUGAGCAGUUUGUUGAGCCAAAAUUUGAAUUAGUUGGGCCACAGCAGGAUCUACUGAGCCUAUGUUGACAUUCUGGUUAUUAUUGUUAUCAUUGAUGCUGUUGGUGCCUUCAGGAUCACUGUUGGCACGAGUAUGUCUUGUUGGAGGCAUUCUGUAAAGAAGAAACAAUUCACUUAGUCGUUUUAAAUCAAAUUCUCAUUUUAUAAAAGGUUUUUAAGAAAACAGAAUUAUACAUUUUUGAAAACAUUUUUGAGAUUGUUUAACUAAAUAAAUUGCAUGCUUCUUUACAGAAUGUAAAGCAAUAAAAGAAAGGGUGCAAUAUUAUCACAAGAGUUUAUGAUCGGUACUGAAAGUAAGGUAAAGUAAAACAAGUGCGAUAAAGUAAAGGACAAAACUGUAAAGUAAAAGAUGCUGAUAUAUAUAAGUCAGUGCUGGAGAUACAAGCGUCAAGCGCUUCGUCAAAAGUAACGUACAACAACAGCAACAACAAACUAUCAUCUAGUCAGCUCGGCUAGUCUAUAUAUACAUGUCAAAAUCUGCUGACAACCACAACAACAUACAUAUCAUCUAGUCAGCUCCGCUAGUCUAUAUAUACAUGACAAAAUCUGCUGACCUGAUACAUACUACUCACUACACACUGCAUCAUACACACUACUCACUAUGAUACUGAUCAUCUCCAACAUCUGAUAUACUCCAGACCUAUGGAAAGUCUGGUCCUCCAAUAACCUCUAGCUGCUCCAAGACCCAACGAGCCCAAUCUAUAAUAUCCCCAGGGGUACCAAGUGGUGCGGUGAUCCCAUAUAAUCUCUCUACUGCCUCUGUCCUGAAAGCACGUAUCUCCUCUCUCAACUGUCUCUCUCUCCUGUUAGGAUCUAAAUUCUGCAUCGCGUGUGUCAACUCUCCAAUCUGGCCCAACAACUCCUCUCUCUCCAUCAAGAGUGCCUGGUAGUAGUGAUAGGGUACCGAAAGAGGGGAACACGGAUAAGAGGGUCCGACACCUGAAAAUCCAGAAGACUCAUGCUCUGGUGGAGGUCCACGGAUAGGAGGUCGUAUAAGGGGAGCAGGUGGGGACAUCACAGGAGCGGGCGGGGGUAUAGCCCUAAGUGGUAUAGGUGCAAUAGGGGUCUGUCCACUACGAGGGUAUCCAGGUGGACGUGAAGGUCCAGCUACAGGUGGGGGUGUAAGUGCCCUGGGUGGAGAUAUAGGUACAACUCCAGGACGAGGUGGAAGUCCUUCAACCGUCGACUCUGAAUGAUCAGAAUGAACCGGGGUACUGGGAUCUGACAUGCCUGAUAGUCUGAGAAUCAACAUAAACAAACACGUAUAAGAAUCUGUAUCCACUACCAACAUCAACCCUAAAUCUAUUACGAAUAAUCCUCAACCUCUCAACGUUCUAUCUACCUAUCACUCAUUUCUAGUCCUAAUCUUCUACCCAACCUAACAAUCUAGGCUUGUUUCAUUGACUUAAAACCUGUCGCUCUGAUACCAACCUGUGGCGCCCUCCAAACCCGGGUCAGAAGUUUGGGGUCCACAACAUAACAUAAACCUGUAAUUAAUAUAAUAUAUGCAGUGACCCUUAGCUGUCCAUGGAUCGCAACAGGUUAAAGUAUAAAACAAGCCACAGCAUAACUUUAAUUAUUACAAACCCAAUCCCAAAAUAUAAACUUAAAUCUUACAAGCUUACACAUCAUUUGUCUCUCGUUAUUCAAACUAGUACAUAUAUAUAAAAAGCCAGGUGCCGCUGAUAGCUCUCUUCAUCUCCUAGCCUGGAAUCCUGGCCUUACCACUAGCCUGAGGGUCAUCGUUACCAACUUUCUCUGCCUUCACUGGAAAGAACAUAAAAUACCGCAAGAGUGAGCUAACCAGCUCAGCAAGUAUAACAAUAUCAAUUUAAAAUAUUAAUCAUAAGCUGAAGGAAACCAGUGUCUCAAGGAAUCAAUCUCAAUACCAAGAUUUGUUUUUAGAACAUCGAUUAGAAUUGGAUAUUAAAUUUAUUUUUAAAAAUCAAAGGUUAGGCUGCUGAUCAGUCAGACACUAACCCCGAGCAGGUCCCACCAUGCUCGUUUACUGGAUCCAAGGCACACAUUGGCCUAAAGUGACCACUCAUCUGGUCUGACCAUUCAUUUGGUCCAAGUUUAGAAAACUAUCCAAUUCUAUCACAAUCAAGAUGAUCAACAAUAUUAUUCAAUAAAAUAGAAACAUCAACAUCAUAAAUAAAUUUUGAAGCAGAAGCAGACUACUAUUCAAAGUGUCUCAGAUGGAUCUCAAAGGAGGAAUGAGAAAUAGCUUCAUGGUUUAGACAAGAAUUAAACAUUGUCUCAUAAGAUGGCAAAGCAUAUCAAAGUGUAGCGUUUAUAUGAAGAAGGGUUCUAGGUUCACAAAAAGAAUCCAAGUAUAAAUGAAUGCUGUUAAGAUCAAGAAACUGGAGUUUAUGGAAAGAAUCAAUCAACUGUAAGGUAUAUGUCAUAACAGAUGUUAUUUGGGGUCGAUCAACUGGUUACGGUCUGAAAGAAGAGUGAUUGAUAACUGGUUGAGGUAUCGAGGGUAUAUUUUUGAAAUGAAAUUAGGUUCUUAUGGUAAUCAUUUAGAAGUUUUAAAGAUGGAAGGUUUACAAUUGAAAUAAGUUUCGUAGCAGGUAUCAAAGAAUCGGUCAAAGGUUCAAGAAUCAAUAAGGUAAGUAGUCCAUAAUAUAGUUCAAGAAAUCUGGUUGAAGGUUCAAGAAUCAAUAGGAUAAAUAAUCCAUGCUAUAACUCAAUAGGUCACAGGACUUUAUCAGAAAGUUCACUAAUAACCACAACAGAUACAAAAUAUAAUUGAAGGAAAGUCUGAGGGAAACUUGCCUUAUAUAGCUGAUCUCAAGUUUCAACUACGCUUGCUCGCUAUACUACUCUAUCACCACUUGCUUUCCCUUCCUACGUCUCGCUUCUUCUGCUAAUCACAACAAUUCUUUAUCAAUAUAUGAUCUCAUACUAUUCUUAUUAUCACACCUUCGCAACGAGUUCCUAACUACCCUUCGUUUCACCCAAAUCCGAUUAACGGAUCAAAAGAUAUAUCAAAACAAUUAUAUAAUGUUCAUGUAGACACGUAACACAUCAAUCAGAUAUGCCAUAACACGUAUCACAUAAGAUAUUCGAUGAAAUUUAUUUUUCAAAGAAGGUUUGAAGUCAAAAGGAUUUUUCUGGCAUUUGAUAUGAAUUUUAGAACAUUUUUCGGAAUUAAAACGGGUCAAAGAAUCAUUUUAUAAAUAAAUAAUCAAUUCUGGAUACUCGAAAUCAAGUCCGAAAUCAUUUGAAAUCAAUUAACGAGCUUCAAACAUAUUUUAGAAUAAUAUUUCAAAGCUCGAAACUAUUUUUCGGAAUUUUAAAAUCAUUUAAAAUAAUUAAAUCUAAUUAAUAAAUCAAUUAAAAUUAAUUAAUAAUUAAUUAAAACAAUUAAUCAAUUAAUAUUUAAAUUAAUUGACUAAUUAUAAUAAUUAAUUACUAAUUAAAAUUAAUUAAUAAAUUAAAUCAGAAUUAUUUUUGAAUAAAGAAAUAAUUAAAAACUAUUUUUGAAAAUAAUUAAAUGAUUUUCGAAAUAAAAUAAUUUAAAUAAAACUGUUUUUAAAAGUUCUUGAAACUUCAAGGUUUAAAUUGUUACAAACCAAACCACAGUACCAAACUCUCAUCAUCUUCAAAAGUUCAGGGGCUAAACUGUAAAAAUUACAGCCGCCGCCCCUGAACCGCCGUCGAUCGCCGGAACACCGGUUCCAGGCUUCCGUUGGUGCUCAGAAAGUGCAGAUCAGCUCUCCAAGCCACCAGGAAUCUAUUUAUCCAAUCGAUUCGAUCAACAACGCAGUGGUUUGGCCGGAAAUUGGCGAAGAAACUCGCCGUCGCCGGCGAGUCUUCUUUACUCCGAUUCCGGCCAUUCCUGAACCUCACCCUACUUUUGAUACCACCAUUCGACUCCUCUAAACCUUCCCAAUCCAUUCCACACUUCAAUUUACACAUAUAACUCCAGAAUAACAAAACCCCAAAUUCAAUUGAAAACAUUCAAACGAGCUAUGAACCCUAGUUCUUCAAAUUCGAAAAUCAAACCCAAUUUUAAAGGUGUUAUGAACCUCCAAAUCACACAUAUGAUAUACCAAAAUGAUCAGGAGAACAUUGUCUACAACAUACAAACAAGAAAUCACAUGAACAACUUCAAAAUCAAAAAGUCCUAAUUUAAUCUUAAUUAUUUCGAAUUUAAAUCCUCAAAUCCGAACCUACCUGAUGUUUCUGCACUAAAACUGAUGCUAGAUUUGGAUUCUACUCGCCAAAACCUUCGAUUUGAGUACUUGAACGCCAAGAUCCGAGUCCGAUAACGCUUCCAAAUCCUUGUUUGAAUCUCAAGAACACGAAGAACACUCUCUCGAUAAACUCGUGUUUAACUGAGAUUAUGAUUUCCCCGAUGAAUUAAGGUGCGGUUAAGGCUAUUUAUAGUUAUGAAAAAUUAAUACCCCUUUGGAUCAUAUAUGACACGAAAAUACCAUGUUUAAUAGCUUUAUAUUAAUAACACAGGUCCAAUCGGCACCGGUUUUCGAGAUAACUAUCAAAACGGGGCUUUUUAAUCAGUCAUUAGUAUGCGGGUCCCAUUGUAAUUAUUACAAGAUAAGGAUGAGGUAAAAUAUCUAGUUUCACGUUUAUCGAGACAAACAGAUAAUUAUCGAAUACCGAAAAACUCCGCCGGACCGGCUCCGGAACAAACCGUACUCCGGAUCGAAAAAGUCAAAACAUGAAAAGUGUCCGGAAUACUCAAAUUAGGCUAAAGGUGAAUUUUGUUGAAAUUUUCGGGAAGAAAAAUCUCGGUACCGUUACAGGUUGACGGUUUUCGAAAAAUUAAAAUAAUUAAUAAUUAAAUAUAAUAUACGUAAUUAAAUCCAUAAAUCAAAUAUAAAAUCAUACGACAACACAUAAAUCGAUAUGAAAAUAUCUAAAUAAACUAUAUUUCGUACUGAACAUAUAAAAAUUGAUAUUCCUCAAAUUUAAUCAAAAAUGCAUAACUAAAUCAAUAGAACAGGAACCAAUUAAUUCACAGAAAUUCACAUAAAAUUUAUAUAAUACUCAUUAAUCAUCCAAAUAAUUACACGGAUAAUCUCAGAUGUUAUACAGGUUUACAGAUGGGCCUAUCAAAGAAAGGUUGUCACCUUGAUCAGUUAUGACCUUCAGUGAAAAAGAACUUAAACUACUACAAUUUGGAGCAAUAAGAGAUGUCUGAGGUAGAGCAAAGAAAACAACGCCAAUCAUCACAUAAGUUGUCUUAGUCAUAGACCAAUUAGAUUAAAUUAUAACAAUGCUUUAAUCUAUAGUUGACAAUUAGAUUAAAAACUGAUUAAAUGAGAAAAAGAUAUCC